AUGAGGCAAGGCGCAGCUGUUGUGUCUUCUUCCUGCAGGUUCAUCACCUUGCUGGGGCUCACCCUCCCUUUGGCUGGAACAGUCUGCGUGGCAGCUAGGGAAUGGGGGUCAGCCUGCAGGACAUCGCAGGAACAUGGGGCACCUCUGGCCACUUACGGGAGUCUGCCACUGAGCAAGGCGGAGAGCAAUGAACAAAGAAGCAGAAUCCCAUGGACGCACUGCCCGGCACAUCUGCCCCUGUCAGCAGCCCCGAGCAGAGGAAAAAGGUUUCUAGGAGCCAUGGUUCAUGCUCUGGAGUGCUUUUCUUGGCAGAAGAAUGUGCCAGCCAUCUGGACUACAAAGACACCAGGCAGCACCUGCUCUGCACUGAAUGGCAUUCGUGUUUUGAGUCUUCUGUGGAUCAUCUCGGGACAUACCAGUCAGAUGACUGCAUGGCUGUCUUUGGAUAACGUGCUUGAAUGGAAAAGCAGAGUGCUUAGAAACCCACUGUACAUUUACUCUCGGAGCGGUCCCUUCUAUCUUGGAGUGGAUACAUUUUUCCUGAUCAGGUACAGGCUGUGAUACAUGUGGCGAUCAAUCUUCUUAGACUCACGGUAUCUUCUAAGCAGCCGGCGCAGAAUCCUCAUCUCCUCAUCCACGUGACCUUCUUCAUUCCGGGCAUUGGCUGUACCCUUCUGCUUACCUAUGCCGCAUGUGCCUGCCCUCCGGCGGGCCAAGGUAUUUUUCCGGAUCUGCGCCCGGGGAAGGACCGUCACAGGCUUGCGGAUGAUCACCCAUCUUUGAUCAGCUUCGGAUCUGCUGACGGAGUUGGCAUUGGCGAUUUCAUUGUCUCAUUGGGGUCUAACCAGACCUUCUUCUUGCCACAGCGGAAGGAACACUAAGAGCGAGCCUCUUCUGAAGCCCUGAGCAUACUCAUGGCUGCGGCCGCAGCAGCGAAAGGCCCUUUUUUUUUUUUUUUUUGAGAUAGAGUCUCACUCUGUCCGUCCAGCUGGAGUACAGUGGCACAAUUUUGGCUCACCACAACCUCUGCCUCCUGGGUUCAAGUGAUU
rnacentral:lncRNA from 1 species